GAGACCCACGCCCACAGUUGCCAGCGUACUCUCCGGAGUGACGGGUACACUGUGGGGACCGCCGCUGCUAAAGCGGAGGAAGGAAUGGGCAACGGUAGGUCAGUAUGCCCCGAAUAUCCCGGGCUACACGCGAGCUACAAUGGUUGGUACAAUGGGUAUCUACCCCGAAAGGGGAUGGAAAUCUCCUAAAGCCAAUCUUAGUUCGGAUUGAGGGCUGCAACUCGCCCUCAUGAAGCUGGAAUCCGUAGUAAUCGCGUUUCAACAGAACGCGGUGAGUAC
rnacentral:rRNA from 1 species